rnacentral:rRNA from 1 species
AGUGAACGCUGGCGGUAGGCCUAACACAUGCAAGUCGAACGGCAGCACAGUAAGAGCUUGCUCUUACGGGUGGCGAGUGGCGGACGGGUGAGGAAUACAUCGGAAUCUACUUUUUCGUGGGGGAUAACGUAGGGAAACUUACGCUAAUACCGCAUACGACCUACGGGUGAAAGCAGGGGAUCUUCGGACCUUGCGCGAUUGAAUGAGCCGAUGUCGGAUUAGCUAGUUGGCGGGGUAAAGGCCCACCAAGGCGACGAUCCGUAGCUGGUCUGAGAGGAUGACCAGCCACACUGGAACUGAGACACGGUCCAGACUCCUACGGGAGGCAGCAGUGGGGAAUAUUGGACAAAGGGCGCAAGCCUGAUCCAGCCAUACCGCGUGGGUGAAGAAGGCCUUCGGGUUGUAAAGCCCUUUUGUUGGGAAAGAAAAGCAGCAGGUUAAUACCCCGCUGUUCUGACGGUACCCAAAGAAUAAGCACCGGCUAACUUCGUG